CCUACGGGAGGCAGCAGUCGAGAAUCAUUCACAAUGGGGGAAACCCUGAUGCUGCGACGCCGCGUGGGGGAAUGAAGGUCUUCGGAUUGUAAACCCCUGUCAUGUGGGAGCAAAUUAAAAAGAUAGUACCACAAGAGGAAGAGACGGCUAACUCUGUGCCAGCAGCCGCGGUAAUACAGAGGUCUCAAGCGGUGUUCGGAAUCACUGGGCGUAAAGCGUGCGUAGGCUGUUUCGUAAGUCGUGUGUGAAAGGCGCGGGCUCAACCCGCGGACGGCACAUGAUACUGCGAGACUAGAGUAAUGGAGGGGGAACCGGAAUGCUCGGUGUAGCAGUGAAAUGCAUAGAUAUCGCGAGGAACACUGGUGGCGAAGGCGGGUUACUGGACAUUAACUGACGCUGAGGCACGAAGGCCAGGGGAGCGAAAGGGAUUAGAUACCCGGGUAGUC
rnacentral:rRNA from 1 species